AUGACAGCCGUGAAGAUGCUGAACACCAAGGCCGAGGUGGUCCGAGCCCAGGUGGCGCUGGCGGUCAACAUCAGCAUGGCACGGGAUGAUGCAGCAGGACGUGCUGAAGGCCAACCUGGGGCCCAAGGGCACCAUGAAGAUGCUUGUUUCUGGCGCUGGAGACAUCAAGCUCAUGAAAGACGGCAAUCUGCUGCUUCACGAAAUGCAAAUUCAACACCCAAAACCUCCUUAAUAGCAAAAGUAGCAACAGCCCAGGAUGACAUAACUGGUGAUGGUACUACUUCCAAUGUCCUAAUCAUUGGAGAGCUGCUGAAACAGGGGGAUCUCCACAUUUCUGAAGGUCUUCAUCCCAGAAUAAUCACUGGAGGAUUUGAAGCUGCAAAGGAAAAGGACCUUCAGUUUUUGGAACAAGUCAAAGUAAGCAAAGAGAUGGACAGAGAAACACUUAUAGAUGUGGCCAGAACAUCACUUCGUACUAAAGUUCAUGCUGGGCUUGCAGAUGUCUUAACAGAGGCUGUAGUGGGCUUUAUUUUGGCCAUUAAAAAACAAGAUGAACCUAUUGACUUCUUCAUGAUUGAGAUCAUGGAGGUGAAACAUAAAUCUGAAACUGAUACAAGCUUAAUCGGAGGGCUUGUUUCGGACCACGGAGCAUGGCAUCCUGAUAUGAAGAAAAGAGAUAGAAUUAAAAAAAUAAUAGAACUGAAAAAGAAAGUCUGUGGUGAUUCAGAUAAAGGAUUUGUUGUUAUUAAUCAAAAGGGAAUUUACCCCUUUUCCUGAGAUGCUUUUGCAAAAGAAAGCAUAGUAGCUCUGUGCAGAGCUAAAAGGAGAAAUUUGGAGAGGUUGACUCUUGCUUGUGGUGGGGUAGCUCUAAAUUCUUUUGAUGACUUGAAUCCUGACUGCUUGGACCAUGCAGGACUUGUCUAUGACUAUACAUUGGGAGAAGAUAAGUUCACCUUUAUUGAGAAAUGUAACAUCCUCAUUCUGUCACUUUAUUGGUCAAAGGACCAAAUAAACACACACUCACACUCAAAUCAAAGAUGCAAUAAGAGAUGGCUUGAGGGCUGUGAAAAAUGCUAUUGAUGAUGACUGUGUGGUUCUAGGUGCUGGUGCAAUAGAAGUGGAGAAGGCAGAAGGCCUGAGGAAGUAUAAACCCCGUGUAGAGGGCAGGGACCAGCUUGGAGUCCAGGCAUUUGCUGAUGCGUUGCUCAUUAUUCCCGAGGUUCUUGCUCAGAACUCUGGUUUUGGCCUUCAGGAAACAUUAGUUAAAAUUCAAGCAGGACAUUCAGAAUCAGGUCAACUUGUGGGUGUGGACUUGAACACAGGUGAGCCAAUGGUAGCAGCAGAAGUAGGCAUAUGGGAGAACCAUUGUGUAAAGAAACAAAAGAAGCAGCUUCUUCACUCUUGUGCUGUGAUUGCCACCAACAUUUUCUUGGUUGAUGAGAUCAUGCGUGCUGGAAUGUCUUCUCUGAAAGGCUGA